UACGGGGGGGGGCAAGCGUUGUUCGGAAUUACUGGGCGUAAAGGGCUCGUAGGCGGCCAACUAAGUCGGAUGUGAAAUCCCCAGGCUUAACCUGGGAACUGCAUCCGAUACUGGAUGGCUUGAAUCCGGGAGAGGGUCGCGGAAUUCCCGGUGUAGAGGUGAAAUUCGUAGAUAUCGGGAGGAACACCAGUGGCGAAGGCGGCGACCUGGACGGACAUUGACGCUGAGACGCGAAAGCGUGGGGAGCAAACAGG
rnacentral:rRNA from 1 species